rnacentral:rRNA from 1 species
GAUGAACGCUGGCGGCGUGCCUAAUACAUGCCAGUCGAGCGAACGGACGAGAAGCUUGCUUCUCUGAUGUUAGCGGCGGACGGGUGAGUAACACGUGGAUAACCUACCUAUAAGACUGGGAUAACUUCGGGAAACCGGAGCUAAUACCGGAUAAUAUUUUGAACCGCAUGGUUCAAAAGUGAAAGACGGUCUUGCUGUCACUUAUAGAUGGAUCUGCGCUGCAUUAGCUAGUUGGUAAGGUAACGGCUUACCAAGGCAACGAUGCAUAGCCGACCUGAGAGGGUGAUCGGCCACACUGGAACUGAGACACGGUCCAGACUCCUACGGGAGGCAGCAGUAGGGAAUCUUCCGCAAUGGGCGAAAGCCUGACGGAGCAACGCCGCGGGAGUGAUGAAGGUCUUCGGAUCGUAAAACUCUGUUAUUAGGGAAGAACAUAUGUGUAAGUAACUGUGCACAUCUUGACGGAACCUAAGCAGAAAGCCACGGCUAACUACGU